ACCAAAACACACACUUAAAGUGUGUGUUCUGGUCGAUAUAUCCACAGGAGCCAAGAACAUCUUGAGCUCAAAACCCUAACAAGCACAAAUCAAGAAAUUGGAAGGGCAAAUCAGUCCCAAAUCGAAAUCCAAGCUCGUAUUCAUGAACACCAAGUUGAAAGGAUCACAAGUUUGACGCGUAACAAGCUAGGUGGAAGCUUGGAGUGAAAGCGGGUCAAACAAGUCAAGCAUGGAAGAAAAGCGUAGCUCGGAUGCAAGGUAAGUGAAACUUACAUAAUUGUGUAGAUUACUUGUUCAUUCUAUACGUUAUAGAUGCAAUAAUGCUAAUAUUGAAAAUAUGGAUUUCCGACGUGAUUGAUACGAGUCGGAACAUAUAAAGAUGAUAAAAAAACCAUGUUUAUGGCAAAAAGGGGAUUCGGUAAUGAAAUCCGGGACGGGAUGGAUGUAUGAAUUAGAAGUCAAAAACCAUGUUUUUGAUUUAAUAGGCAACGUUGGGCAUAUAGGCCGAACGGGUCAAAUGGUGGUGAUAACACUAUUUGACAAUAUCGACUAAUGCGAUUGUCAAGUCUUGUGUUAACAGGAGCGAUUAGCGAUUCAGUUAAUUUCGCCCACACUAAGUGUGAUGAUAAAAGCAAGGUAUAAAUUGGGUCUAUAUGUUGACCCUAGCCAGGUACUUUGUGGAAGCCGGAAGACGAUCAAGCUCAACGAAGAACCGAACACGAUACAGUU